CAUGGUUUGGGGCAAAAGAUCUCUGUCAUGAUGGACGUGAGCAUGCUCGAGUGCCCCCUCUGUCGGCGCCCCUUGAAGUCUCUCGUCUUCCAGUGCAAGGGCGGGCACCUGGCCUGCGACCGCUGCCACCGGGAGGACUACCGGAAGUACGAUCAUGCCGGCGCCUUCGAUGUCCGCAACAGGUGGAUGGAGUCCGUCACCUCAUUGAUUACGACCAAGUGCGACCACGACGGCUGCGGGCGCUACGUCACCUACUACAAGCUUGCCGAUCACCGCGGCGCGCGGCCCUGCAGGUGCCCUGAGCCCGGUUCCUAGUUCAAUCCAUUAUUUCCUGCCCUUGUUGUUAAUUCCUGAAGUUCAAUCAUGGUGCCUACCCUUGCUGUUGGUUUAUCCCUGGAGGUGGUUUUCGACAACCUGAGAUGCAGAUGCAAUGCCUCCAAAUCUUUGGCUCCAGGAGAAGGAGGAGAGCAAGGUCCUCAAGUCCCUGGGGUUUGUCUUUGUUUCUUUUUUGUGGAAUCUGCUCUGAACUUCUCAACAGAGGGGGGAAGCCUUCAUGUGUUCUGCGCGAGGGAUUCUUCUUCCACUCCGUCGCCUAUCCGCCCCUCUGGUGGCCGAUUCUUCUUCGACUCCGGCACAUAUGCGCUGAUGGAGCUUUGUGCACAUGCCCUGAUGAUGACACUUGUGAUGAUCUGGGCUCCCAUGAUGGUGCUCCGGGGCCUCCGCGAUGGUGGUUCUGCAGUUGUUUGUCUCCUUAUCCACAAUCGCUCGCGCGCCGGAUAGGAGGGGGCGACCACUUCUUCCUUUCUUGGGCAACGACGUGUCAUGAGUACAGAGUUGGCUGCUCCCUGCUCCUCCGACCCUGCUAGUGCCGACACCAUGGAGCUCUUUAAGGUGCACGAGUGACCGCCGUGUGGUGUGCUAAGGGGAUAACACUCCGACGGCCCUCCGAUGGCCUCUUCUUCUUCGACUCCAGCAUAUGUAAGCCGUGUGCUGCUGGCUCAUUUCUGCUGCUCUCUCACAUUUCUCAUAAUUGUGCAGCAGUAUACAACAAGAAAAAAAAUGUUGUUCCAAGAUAAAUCAUUUUGCUGUGAUGUAUGGAUCGACAUGUUUUGUACGGAUUGGCUUGGUUUUUACAACGACUGCACUUGUUUUGUGUCAA